AAGACUAUAGACCUGCGGAGUACCUGCGGAGGGAUCAUUAAUGAAUAAACUUGGUCAAGCUGUUGCUGGUCUCUUGAGACAUGUGCACGCUUGCCACCAACUUUAACCACCUGUGCACCUUUUGUAGACUGGAAACGUUUCUCGAGGCAACUCGGAUUGAGAACUGUUGCGCGCAAGCCAGCUGUUCUUGUGUUUCUUAGUCUAUGUUUUCAUAUACUCCUAAUGUAUGUAAUCGAAUGU
rnacentral:misc_RNA from 1 species